rnacentral:rRNA from 2 species
GGGUUGUGAGGUUAAGCGACUAAGCGUACACGGUGGAUGCCCUGGCAGUCAGAGGCGAUGAAGGACGUGCUAAUCUGCGAUAAGCGCCGGUAAGGUGAUAUGAACCGUUAUAGCCGGCGAUUUCCGAAUGGGGAAACCCAGUGUGAUCCGUCACACUAUCGUUAACUGAAUACAUAGGUUAACGAAGCGAACCGGGGGAACUGAAACAUCUAAGUACCCCGAGGAAAAGAAAUCAACCGAGAUUCCCCCAGUAGCGGCGAGCGAACGGGGAGCAGCCCAGAGUCUGAAUCAGCAUGUGUGUUAGUGGAACGGUCUGGAAAGUCCGACGAUACAGGGUGAUAGUCCCGUACACAAAAACGCAUGUGUUGUGAACUCGAAGAGUAGGGCGGGACACGUGGUAUCCUGUCUGAAUAUGGGGGGACCAUCCUCCAAGGCUAAAUACUCCUGACUGACCGAUAGUGAACCAGUACCGUGAGGGAAAGGCGAAAAGAACCCCGGCGAGGGGAGUGAAAAAGAACCUGAAACCGUGUACGUACAAGCAGUGGGAGCCCCACCACCAAAGCAUUCUCUGGUGUUGAAGGCCCUGCAAAGCAGCAUCGCGGUGGCGGAGCGUCGUUUGCGACGCCCAACACACAAAACAAGCGGUGAGUGCUUUGGGGUGGGGUGACUGCGUACCUUUUGUAUAAUGGGUCAGCGACUUAUAUUCUGUAGCAAGGUUAACCGUAUAGGGGAGCCGAAGGGAAACCGAGUCUUAACCGGGCGUUAAGUUGCAGGGUAUAGACCCGAAACCCGGUGAUCUAGCCAUGGGCAGGUUGAAGGUUGGGUAACACUAACUGGAGGACCGAACCGACUAAUGUUGAAAAAUUAGCGGAUGACUUGUGGCUGGGGGUGAAAGGCCAAUCAAACCGGGAGAUAGCUGGUUCUCCCCGAAAGCUAUUUAGGUAGCGCCUCGUGAACUCAUCUUCGGGGGUAGAGCACUGUUUCGGCUAGGGGGUCAUCCCGACUUACCAACCCGAUGCAAACUGCGAAUACCGAAGAAUGUUAUCACGGGAGACACACGGCGGGUGCUAACGUCCGUCGUGAAGAGGGAAACAACCCAGACCGCCAGCUAAGGUCCCAAAGUCAUGGUUAAGUGGGAAACGAUGUGGGAAGGC